rnacentral:rRNA from 1 species
CUGCCGGUGACAAACCGGAGGAAGGUGGGGAUGACGUCAAGUCAUCAUGGCCCUUACGGCCUGGGCUACAAACGUGAUACAAUGGCUGGAACAAAGGGAUGCGAAGCAGUGAUGUGGAGCGAAACCCAUAAAAACAGUCUCAGUUCGGAUUGAAGUCUGCAACUCGACUUCAUGAAGUCGGAAUCGCUAGUAAUCGCGGAUCAGAACGCCGCGGUGAAUACGUUCUCGGGGUUU